GUUAAUUUUUAAUCAUAAAUUGAAUAAUCUAGAAUUGAGAGUGUAAUGGGUGUGGGUGUAGUGAGCAAAUGUGUGUUGUGUGUGUAUGUGAGUGAUGUGUUGGAAUUCAAGGAUGAGUGCACGUGUGCAAUGUAAAGAGUGGAGUGUGUGUGUUGUAUUGAUUUCAUUAAGUGAAGAAGUGGGUUCAUUUACAAAAGAAACUGCGUGAGAGUGACAGAGAGUUGAAGUCAAGAAUGAAGAAGUGUGUGUGUUGGAGAAGUCUGAAAGUUAAACAAAAAAGAAAAGAAAAGAAAAGAAAAGAAAGAGGCUUGAGUUCAAGUUCAAGAGAAGAAAAAGAAGAAAAAAGGGUGAAGUGCAAAGAAGAGACUCAAUCUUCAACAAGAAAUUCAACAAAUCAAAGCUUUAGGUGAUCAGGCGCGUGACCAGGCUCAGAGGCAUCUGCCUGGAAUCUGUUUUUGUCAGCCACCUAUGUGUCUCCCAUGGAGGUUCCGAAUAUAUCAAGUGGUUAUGGCUACACGAUUUAAAGUUUAAGCUUUGUUUUCUUGUUUAGUUAAACAAGUCUUUUUGUAUUUUGUAAAUAGGGUUAAGUCAUUUUUUGUUUAAUCUGUAUAUAUAUGACGACGUAAGAAUGAUAUGUAUAUAUGUAUAUAAAAGUUUAAAAAUUUUCUGUCUCA